GGAUUUGAGUAGUAAUAAUAUCGGAAAGAUUCCAAAAGAAAUCUUCCAAAACUUGACCAGUUUAAUGUACUUGGAUCUGAGUAGUAAUAAUAUCGGAAAGAUUCCAAAAGAAAUCUUCCAAAACUUGACCAGUUUAAUAUAUUUAGAUCUGAAUAAUAAUAAAAUCAAGACGCUUCAAGAAGUAACUUUUGAAAAGCUGAGCAAAUUACAGACAUUAGAUCUGAGAUACAAUAAAAUCCAGACGCUUCAAGAAGGAACCUUUGCAAGCCUUAAGGAUUUAGAAUCAUUGUA